CGGCCGCGCCGAACUACGGAGGACACGCUGCGACGGACACGGACUGGUCAGUCCUUAGCGGACCAGCCUACUGCAGUGACCGAACGACCCGCUGACCCACCGGCGGAUGAUGCCGCGUGAAUGCCCAUAACAGUUGUGACGUCUGCAAUUCUUUGGAUUCGAAUAACAAGAUGUACUACGUGGAUCCGGCGUGCAGCAGAAUUCGCGUCGUGUCUUGCGAUGCCCAGGCCUUCAACUGCUUCGACAACGCCUCGAAGUGGCUUGCUGACUCACGCCAAAGUACUUGGUUGCUUCUUCUUGUCGCACAUCGGCUGCUACAAACCUCCAUGUGUUCUGCACUUCCAACCGUUCCUAAAUAUCAGCGGGUGAAGACUCAAGGUCGGCAAAAAGUCAUGUUUACUUCGUGAGCUGCUUCUACGACGUGCGUCUGCUUCGAAGAUGACUUACCAGGAGAGGUGUCUAAGUCGUCGACUCGCUCAGGCUGGGGAAGAUUCAUCGAUUCAAGGCAUCCGCAAGCUGAGCGAGUGUUCACGUUGACGUAUAUU